rnacentral:rRNA from 1 species
GCCGUUGCUGAUGCAUUUGCGACAGAGAUUGCCACGUCGGCGGAGCUACCGAAAGCACCGGUGGACAAGCACUGCAGGAGUCGAGUACCGGGCCUUGCGGUGCCGGCGAACGUGCUACCGGUGGACAAGCACUGCAGGAGUCGAGUACCGGGCCUUGCGGUGCCGGCGGUCGUGCUACCGGUGGACAAGCACUGCAGGAGUCGAGUACCGGGCCUUGCGGUGCCGGCGAACGUGCUACCGGUCGACAAGCACUGCAGGAGUCGAGUACCGGGCCUUCGGUGCCGGCGAACGUGCUCCUUGUAGUGUGCGGUCUGACGGCGGUCGGCCUUGUCCUGAAGAAGGGCUUUCGUCCCAGAGCAUCGAUGCCUACCGUGGUCGACAGUUGGGCGGCUUGUAGCGAAGGAUGUGUCUACAGAACAAGCCCUCGGCGAGUGCUCUGGCUGAGAGGGAGCGCCACGCCGUGCAAAGGGGAAGAAGGCCGAGCGGCAAUACCAUGAAAAACGUUUAGAAACAACCGGCUGAUCACAGCGCGGGCGUCGAUCACUUCAAACCUGCAGGCACAAACAUAAGCCGAACGAAGACCGGAUCUACCACUCGAGUCUCCGUAUCCAAGACAGAGACAAAUAGUGGAGCACACGGGAGUACCAUACGAUACAAUUCUCCAGUGCUGAAAGAUCAACGGUAAAAAGUUGACAUGACAAAAACACCAGCUCGCCACAAACAGGAAUACAGCAGCCUCCACAACAAGAGCACUAGUAUAGUAUUUCUUUUCAACGAGGCAACAGAGCACCAGUAUUGGUCGUAGAAAUGCAAGACGGUGAGUUUCCACGAACGAGAGCCCAGCCCAGGGGAUGCACGCACAGUUUACACACUCCAUUACAAUCCUCCCAUGGAGGAGGAAGAAGAAGACAUUGCCAAAGAUGUAUAGUUGCCCUACACGGCCUAACACCCGCCUAGCUAGCUAGAUACCUCCGCCGCGCACCGCCGUCGCCGCCGGUGAACCUGAGAGGUAAAGCGCAGCACGAGCUGCAUGCCGGCAGUGGCUAGCAUCAAGCCAUUGUUGGGGGGUAUAUACCUGGGAGGAGCUCCUCCCAGGCGAAGGAGUCCUCCAUGGGAGAUGCCGGGUCAGGCUCCAUAUAUAGAAGCGCACGCACGAGGUUUCGAUCGACCAGCGAGUGGAAGCUCCGGUGGCUCGGUGACCUAAGUGAGGCAUCUUCCCUGGCAUAUUCUUGAGCAUAUGAGAACUUCUGCUUUACUUGCC